rnacentral:rRNA from 1 species
GGAUAGCCACCGGAAACGGUGAUUAAUACCGGAUACGACCACUUCUCGCAUGGGAUGGUGGUGGAAAGUUUUUCGGCCAGGGAUGUGCUCGCGGCCUAUCAGCUUGAUGGUGAGGUAAUGGCUCACCAUGGCUUCGACGGGUAGCCGGCCUGAGAGGGUGACCGGUCACACUGGGACUGAGACACGGCCCAGACUCCUACGGGAGGCAGCAGUGGGGAAUAUUGGACAAUGGGCGGAAGCCUGAUCCAGCAACGCCGCGUGAGGGAUGACGGCCUUCGGGUUGUAAACCUCUUUCAGCAGGGACGAAGCGCAAGUGACGGUACCUGCAGAAGAAGCACCGGCCAACUACGUGCCAGCAGCCGCGGUAAUACGUAGGGUGCGAGCGUUGUCCGGAAUUAUUGGGCGUAAAGGGCUCGUAGGCGGUUUGUCGCGUCGGGAGUGAAAACCAGGUGCUUAACACCUGGCUUGCUUUCGAUACGGGCAGACUAGAGGUAUUCAGGGGAGAACGGAAUUCCUGGUGUAGCGGUGAAAUGCGCAGAUAUCAGGAGGAACACCGGUGGCGAAGGCGGUUCUCUGGGAAUAUCCUGACGCUGAGGAGC